rnacentral:lncRNA from 1 species
AGUUCGCGACCAUGGGGUCCAUCCCCGAUCCUGGCGAGUUGAGCGAGUUGACUCAGCCGAGCUUCGACGAGUUCCAGCGCCAAACCUCUCUCAUGACAAGCUGCACCCUCCUCUGGAAGGAACUCUCUGACCACUUUUCCUCUCUCGAGGAGGACCUCAAGCACAAAUCCGAAGCUCUGAAACGCAAGAUGCGCACGCUCGACACCGCCACCUCUGACUCUCUCCGCCUCCUUGACCGCCGCGAAACAUCCCUCGACGCCACUCUCCAGAUCGCCCUCCGCACGCUCGACACGCGCCGCACCGCCGCCAUAACCUCUUUCCUUGACGACCACGCGGACGAAGACGGCGGCGAGGUUGACGACGCCACCGGCCUCGUCCUCAAACUCA